AUUGAACGCUGGCGGCAUGCCUUACACAUGCAAGUCGAACGGUAACGGGCCUUCGGGUGCCGACGAGUGGCGAACGGGUGAGUAAUGCAUCGGAACGUACCUUUCAGUGGGGGAUAACGUAGCGAAAGUUACGCUAAUACCGCAUAUUCUGUGAGCAGGAAAGCAGGGGAUCGCAAGACCUUGCGCUGAUUGAGCGGCCGAUGUCGGAUUAGCUAGUUGGUGAGGUAAAGGCGCACCAAGGCGACGAUCUGUAGCGGGUCUGAGAGGAUGAUCCGCCACACUGGAACUGAGACACGGUCCAGACUCCUACGGGAGGCAGCAGUGGGGAAUUUUGGACAAUGGGGGCAACCCUGAUCCAGCCAUGCCGCGUGAGUGAAGAAGGCCUUCGGGUUGUAAAGCUCUUUCGGUCGGGAAGAAAUCGCAUGGGUUAAUACCCUGUGCGGAUGACGGUACCGGCAUAAGAAGCACCGGCUAACUACGUGCCAGCCGCCGCUGUAAAAC
rnacentral:rRNA from 1 species